CACUGACUGUCGUUGGGUAAAGAGACUGCAGCAGAGCUGACACUGUGACUGUCGUUGGGUAAAGAGACUGCAGCAGAGCUGACACUGUGACUGUCGUUGGGUAAAGAGACUGCAGCAGAGCUGACACUGUGACUGUCGUUGGGUAGACUGCAGCAGAGCUGACACUGACUGUCGUUGGGUAAAGAGACUG
rnacentral:lncRNA from 13 species